rnacentral:rRNA from 1 species
GACGAACGCUGGCGGCGUGCCUAACACAUGCAAGUCAAGGGGUAGCAAUACCACUGGCGCACGGGUGAGUAACGCGUAGGUAUCUGCCCUUAACUCUAACAUAACAUUGAGAAAUUGGUGCUAAUAUUAGAUAAUACCCUCACGGGUCAAAGAGGAAUCGGUUAAGGAUGAGCCUGCGUCUGAUUAGCUUGUUGGUAGGGUAAUGGCCUACCAAGGCUGCGAUCAGUAACUGGUCUGAGAGGAUGGUCAGUCACACUGGAACUGAGACACGGUCCAGACUCCUACGGGAGGCAGCAGUGAGGAAUUUUGCACAAUGGGGGAAACCCUGAUGCAGCGACGCCGCGUGAAGGAUGAAGGAGCUAUGCUUCGUAAACUUCUGUCGGAAGGGAAAAAAGACUCGAUCUUCGGGCUGGGAUUGUACCUUCAAAGGAAGGGUCGGCGUAACUACGUG